AAGACCGGCGACACAGACGCUGACAAACGCUCACAACAGGUAUACUGAGAAUUCUGAUUGGAUGAAGGGGUGGAGUUUAGAACUGCAGAUCGGUGUGAGAGUUUAGUUAACGAUGUGACUGGGAGGAAUUCAUGGACCAGUUGGGACUUACCUCGGACGUGCUUUGGAGUAUCGUUGCUAUGGCGAUAAAGGAUCGUGCUGCUGUUCGGUAGAGGAGGGACUACAGAAAGAUCUACAGCUUCAGAGGAGGGAAUUUCGUGUUCCAGCCGCCUGGGAAGCCGUUCAGCCGACCAGAGUCCGCUCUUCCAGAACCAGAACCCAUGCAGGUGGAUCCUACUGGUCUCUCACUGUCAGAGCGUCAUGGAAGACUUACUCUAGGAUUGUGUCUAUACUGUGGCGCAUCGGGGCAUACCAUCAUCUCAUGCCCCAUUCGCCCCCCACCACCACACCUGGUGAGUGUUAUUCAGCCUGAUCCAUCUUUUUCCUCACCAUUGUAAACUCAAUGUCUGAUAUGUGUUCCCCAUCACUCUGUUUCAGUCUCAGCCCUCCUCCAUUCAGGAUUAACUCAUUAAACCACAUAAGUCCGUCCCACACCACUGUAUUAUUAGAUAAAGUGCUGUGAUCUUAUAUGAUAAAACAUUUACUAAGGUGUUAAUAUGAUCAAUUCUGCUCAUAAAACAUUUCUCAGUAAUGAAUGAAAUGAACAAAAGUUACCUUUUUUUUGUGUUUACAAUGUUAACAAACUUAUUCAUGCUGUACCUGUUCCAUCCUCCACAUUUUGCUCACCUAGUUUCUCUGGCACAUCCUUCUCUACCUUUUCACACAAAUGGACACUGAGCUGCUCACUAGGGAGGAAUCACGUAUGAAAGUUACCACUUGCUUACUUGAUCCCCUCCCUACAAGCUUGUUUAAAUCCUGUUUGUAUUCAUUGUGCCCUGCUGUUCUCAGUAUUGUAAAUGAUUCCCUGCAUACUGGUGUUGUGCCAGCAGCAUUGACUGGUGACUGGUUUUGUCUGUACGGGUGUUCCUCAGGGUUCCAUCUUAGGCCCCUUACUUUUUAGCAUGUACAUAUUUCCACUUGGAUUGCUUUUAAGAUCACUUGGGCUUAAUUAUCACUUUUAUGCGGACGACACUCAGAUUUAUAUUCACUUUAAGCCUAAUCAAAAUUUGGACCUUUCUUUUUUAACACACUGUAUCGCUGAGAUAAAAACGUGGAUGUCUCAAAAUUGUUUGUGCCUCAACGCUGAUAAGACGGAGCUUGUCUUGCUUAUUGGAGCCCCUCACCAGCUUCGCAAAGCUGGUUCACUGUUUCUAAACGUAGAUGGCUCUGUUCUGGAAGUACAAACCAAAUGAAAAAAUCUAGGAGUAAUCUUUGAUUCAAGUUUGUCUUUUGACCCUCACGUUCGGCACUUUGUAAAGAACUGAUUUUUUCAUCUCAGAAAUAUGGCUAGACUUCACCCUAUGUUAUCCUGUUCAGUGACUGAAAGGCUUAUUAAGACUUUUGUGUUCUCCCGCUUUGACUAUUGUAAUGCACUUCUGGCUGGGGUUCCUAAAUCCACACUUAAUAAACUUGUUAAACUAAAUAAUAAACUAAAUAAAGAGAGAAACACCACAUGACCACAUUAGCAUGACCUACAUUUUAGUGCAUCCUCGAGAGAACCUAGAGGGUGAGCUGAUAAAAAUAAAAUAUAUAGAAAAUAUAUAAAUUACAUAGAAAUUUCUAACUUCUGCACAAAUAAAGACGGACUUACUUCAUCCCCAUCAGGCGGCUCUGGAGUCCCUGCUGCCGGCAGUGCAGCUUCCACCGCCCCGGGAAGGAACUCCCGGAGAGCUUCCCUCACCGUCUCCCUACAGUUACAGGCGGGUGGAAGCUGGCCGUCUGAAGACGACCUUCCUCUUUCAUGAUGAGGCUUUGGCUGAACUUCUAUAAGUCUACGUGGCAUUGUGUAAGAUAAUGAGUAACACCCACCUAGCGGCUGCUCUAUUUAUAAUCUAACAUUAUAAUUAUGCACAAAUCAAACGUGUGUUAUUGGUCAUAAUCCCUCUUCCUCCCGCUCCCCCUACACACUUAUUGGCUAAGAUCCUUGUGACCAAUCCGAAAACCAAUCCGAAACACGCCGUAAAAUUACAGCAUCAGUCCGUCAUUCUGUUCUACACCACAUUAUUAAUGGUGCUUGUAAAGCGUCAUUAUUGUUAUUGUGCCGGACAAAACUUCGGUGUGUAACUUGUCCCUCAGCUUUUGUCCUAGAUAAUAAUUAAGUGGUACAGAAUCCACUAAAGUCAUCAUGAAGUCAUCAUUUUGUUUCUCAUGUUUAUCAGAAUAGGAAACAGCUGUUUAAGGGAAAAUAUGGGUGACACUUAAAAGAGCCGUUUGAGGAGUAAAAAACAUAAGAAACACGUUUACUUUUUCUUGUGAGCCUUUUUGGCCUUCGCCGCUUUGGGCUUUACAGCAUUUACCUUCUUGGGGGUCGCCGGCUUUUUUGGCCCUCUUGGGGCUCUUGGCUGCUUUCUUGAUUAUUAAUAUAAACUAAGUUAGUGAGGUAAUGUAAAUCUGAGGUGAUUUGUGACGUGCUAACUGCUAAUCUGAGCUAAAACAGAAGUGUAAAAGUGAAACCUGAGGUAACAGUUACCAUCAAUCUGAAGGAGUUAAGAACACAUUCAGUGUUACACUUUAUAUACAGAUGAACACGUCAAAUCAGAUAAAUCAGUAGUUUUUGCUGCCCUUCGCCUCCUUCACUAUGUGGCCGAUAUUGUCACCCAACAUCACGAAGCCCAAAAACACUUGAGCCAUUGAGUUUGUGGUCUCGAGUGUUUUCAUGUCGAUCAACUAUCAUUCCAGAAGACCCUGUUUUUUUUUAUAUCUUUUUUAACCAUAUUUUUUACAUUUAUAAUAAUAGAUUUUAUUUUUUAUUUUAUUUUGUGUGUAAAAUGUACAAUUGUUUAAUAAUCCAACCUCAAUUCAUACUUUUCCAGGGCUUUGACUUUUUUAUUGCUUCUUGGAGUUCAUGUUGUUUACCAUAAACAUGUAUCUGUAGUGAGAUCAUGUGAUAUUUAAUUCAAACAACAAAAACACUGAAUUAAGCUUAUUAUAGCACAUAACUGCUUACGCUGAGACUAAUUUAAAGGUUUCACAGCCACUUAUGUACUUCCAACUUUUACAACUGCAACGACUCUGUACAUUUUGUUGAUGAAAAGCUUCUCCAAAGCAUGAUGCUGCCACCUCCGGGCUUCACUGUAUGGAUGAUGUUCUCAGGAUGAAUAAGCAGUGUGGCUCUGCGUUAUUGUGUUUUAUUACUAGUCUUGUAGAAUCAGUGCAAAAAUACAAACACACAAGCAAUGGUGUAGGUUUACUUCAGAGAUCUUGUAUUGCUUAAACAGCUUGAAUGUGGACUGAAGUAAAAGGAGGCACUUAGCACAUCAGCCUCACACCUUGGGGGUUUAAGGGUUUCCUCAGGGUUCUCCGGUUUCCUCCUUCAGUCCAAAGACAGGAAUUAUAUGCUGAUUGGCAUCUCUACAUUGUCUGUAGUAAAAGUGUGUGUAAUAGACUGGCAUUGUGUCCAGUGUCUACCCUGCCUUGUACCCUGUAAUAGACUCCAGGUUCCCCGUGACCUAGUAGAAUAAGAAGGCCAAACACACAACAAACCAUUCAACUUGUGUAUUUUUAAAACAAAUAUAUACACAAAUAUAUACACAUACAAAAAGUUAGAACAAAACAAUUAACUACAAUUAACAAUGACUUGAUCUGGAUUUUGUCUUUUAUUUCUCUCGUGCAGAACUCACAAUGUACACAUUUGGUCCUUGUUGUUGUAGUUUCAUUUUAGUUGUUUUUGUUGUUG